rnacentral:rRNA from 1 species
GAGUGAACGCUGGCGGUAGGCCUAACCCAUGCAAGUCGAACGGCAGCACAGUAAGAGCUUGCUCUUACGGGUGGCGAGUGGCGGACGGGGGAGGAAUACAUCGGAAUCUACUUUUUCGUGGGGGAUAACGUAGGGAAACUUACGCUAAUACCGCAUACGACCUACGGGUGAAAGCAGGGGAUCUUCGGACCUUGCGCGAUUGAAUGAGCCGAUGUCGGAUUAGCUAGUUGGCGGGGUAAAGGCCCACCAAGGCGACGAUCCGUAGCUGGUCUGAGAGGAUGAUCAGCCACACUGGAACUGAGACACGGUCCAGACUCCUACGGGAGGCAGCAGUGGGGAAUAUUGGACAAUGGGCGCAAGCCUGAUCCAGCCAUACCGCGUGGGUGAAGAAGGCCUUCGGGUUGUAAAGCCCUUUUGUUGGGAAAGAAAAGCAGCAGGUUAAUACCCCGCUGUUCUGACGGUACCCAAAGAAUAAGCACCGGCUAACUUCGUG